UCGAGUUCCAACCUCUUCAAC
rnacentral:siRNA from 1 species